CUCCAAUACAAGUGCCUGGCUUGACACCCACUCCAUACCAAGUGCCUCCCCAUCGAAUGGCUUCACUCUCUCCCAAUGUUGGUUCUAACCCAUCAACUCCCAAAAAUAUUGCACCAUCACCUGGUAUAGAGGAUGCAGAUCCACAUUCUAGUUCAGUCGUCAAUUACGUGGAAGAAUGUUCCAAUAGUUGUCCAAUGAUUACACCCGUUGGAGGAGGGUUUUAUCCUACAAAAAC
rnacentral:sRNA from 1 species